GGGGUACAGCUCAGGGGUAGAGCAUUCGACUGCAGAUCGAGAGAUCCUCGGUUCAAACCCGGGAGUACCCUU